UGGAUAGAGAGCGUUCACACUAUACAUGAGAAAAGGGAUAUGAAAUGGUAAGCUUCAAUUUUACUACAAGAAUGUAACAUUUGUUAUUCAAGAGAGUUGGUAAACUCCAACAAGGUGUUCAUAAGGAAAGUACAUAAAGGAACUGUUCAGCAUCUAUGGCUGACACAAAAGAAUGUGGCACUUGAUUUUAAUAGAGUAAG
rnacentral:lncRNA from 1 species